GACGAACGCUGGCGGCGUGCCUAAUACAUGCAAGUCGAACGAAGCUGUUUUAACUGGUGCUUGCACCGACUUAAACAACUGAGUGGCGAACGGGUGAGUAACACGUGGGUAACCUGCCCCAAAGCGGGGGAUAACAUUUGGAAACAGAUGCUAAUACCGCAUAACCACAGAAACCACAUGGUUUCUGUGUCAAAGAUGGUUUCGGCUAUCACUUUGGGAUGGACCCGCGGCGUAUUAGCUAGUUGGUAAGGUAAUGGCUUACCAAGGCAAUGAUACAUAGCCGAACUGAGUGGUUGAUCGGCCACAGUGGGACUGAGACACGGCCCAUACUCCUACGGGAGGCAGCAGUAGGGAAUCUUCCACAAUGGACGAAAGUCUGAUGGAGCAACGCCGCGUGAGUGAAGAAGGUUUUCGGAUCGUAAAACUCUGUUGUCAGAGAAGAACGUGUGCGAGAGUAACUGUUCGUGCAGUGACGGUAUCUGGCCAGAAAGCCACGGCUAACUACGUGCCAGCCGCCGCAGUAA
rnacentral:rRNA from 1 species